rnacentral:lncRNA from 1 species
GACAGAUGCUUCAUGAAUGGAGAAUGAGGAACGCCAGGCAGGGUUCAAAGCAUGAGCUCUGUCUCCUGCAGCGGUGGAACCUCCCAACAGAAGGUAGCCCCUGUGUCAACCUCUAUGACCAUAUGACGUUUAUGAACGUUACAUCAAGGGGAUCACACAGCAUGUCCUCAUAUGUCUACCUGCUUCACUCACUGUUGGAGAGAUCCACUCAUGGGAGGCAUGAGCAGUGAUGUCUUCAUUUUCCUUGCUGCGUAGUAUUCCACAAUGUGACUCUUACAUCACCUUUUGAUGGUCCUUUGGGCUGUUUCCAGUUUGGGGCAGUUAGUAUUUAUAUCUUCUGGUGAAAAUAUGUCAUCUUUUCUUUGAAUAAAUAUAUGUAAUGGGUUGAGAGAUGCCCC